AUGACGGGGCCGCCGCACCGGGACCAGGAGCGGGACCGGCGCCGGACGCUGCUGCUGGUGAGCCUGGCGUCCAUCAUGGAGCGCGCCGACGAGGCGCUGCUCCCGGCGGUGUACCGCGAGAUCGGCGCCGCCAUGCACGCCGACCCCACCUGGCUCGGCUCCCUCACGCUGUGCCGCUCCAUCGUGCAGGCCGCGUGCUACCCGCUCGCCGCCUACGCCGCCGCACGGCACAACCGCGCCCGCGUCAUCGCCGUGGGGGCAUUCCUCUGGGCCGCCGCCACCUUCCUCGUCGGCGUCUCCGAAACCUUCCUCCAGGUAGCAAUCUCGAGGGGACUGAAUGGCAUCGGCCUCGCGCUCGUGGUACCAUCGAUCCAGUCACUGGUCGCCGACUCCACGGACGACGGCACGCGCGGCUCGGCGUUCGGCUGGCUGCAGCUCGCAAGCUGCAUCGGGCUCAUCGCCGGCGGCUUCGUCGGCCUGCUGCUGGCGCAGACCACGGUCCUCGGGAUCGCCGGCUGGCGCAUCGCCUUCCACCUCGUGGCGGCCAUCAGCGUCGCCGUUGGUGCCCUCAACUGGUUCUUCUCCGUGGACCCCCAUUUCCCCACGGGCGACGCGGCUGCCAGCCCAGGCGGCGACGAGAAGCCCGCCGUGCGGCAGGUGGUGGAGGAGAUGAUCGCGGAGGCCAAGUUCGUGGUGCAGGUCCCGACGUUCCAGAUCUUCGUGGCGCAGGGCGUCAGCGGCUCGUUCCCGUGGUCCGCGCUCUCCUCCUUCGCGUCCAUGUGGCUCGAGCUCAUCGGGUUCAGCCACCGGGAGACAGCCGUGCUCAUGACCAUCUUCUGGGUCGCGAGCUCCCUCGGCGGCCUCAUCGGGGGCAAGCUGGGCGACCUCCUCGCCCUGCGGUACCCGGACGCCGGGAGGAUCGUCCUGUCGCAGAUCAGCGCCGGCUCGGCCGUGCCCCUUGCCGCCGUGCUGCUCAGGGGGCUCCCCGAUGACCCGUCCACCGGCGUCAUCCACGGCGUCGUCCUGUUCGUCAUGGGCGUGUUCAUCUCCUGGAACGGCCCUGCUACAAACUUCCCAAUUUUUGCGGAGAUCGUGCCGGAGAAAUCAAGAACGAGCAUCUACGCGCUCGACAGGUCGUUCGAGACGGUGCUGUCAUCGUUCGCGCCGCCGAUCGUCGGCAUCCUGGCGCAGCGCGUGUAUGGGUACAGGCCGGACGACAAGGGGACAAGCACCCAGCUGGACCGGGAGAACGCGGCGUCGCUGGCCAAGGCGCUGUACACGGCCAUCGCGAUACCGUUCACGGUGUGCGCCGCCAUAUACUCCUUCCUGUACUGCAGCUAUCCCCGGGACAGGGACCGUGCCCGGAUGCAGUCGCUGGCGGAGUCGGAGAUGCAGCAGGUGGAGCACGAGGGUUCUCGCUUGGAAGGCGGCGAUGGAGAUGGAGGAUCUAUCGUUCAUGGUUUGAAGGAGGAGUCGCCGGAGGCUGAGAAGGAUACCGCGAAACUGUUAUCGGACGUUGAGCAAGGUAGAUGA
rnacentral:rRNA from 1 species